GACGAACGCUGGCGGCGUGCUUAACACAUGCAAGUCGAACGCUGAAGCUCAGCUUGCUGGGUGGAUGAGUGGCGAACGGGUGAGUAACACGUGAGUAACCUGCCCCCUUCUUUGGGAUAACGCCCGGAAACGGGUGCUAAUACUGGAUAUUCACUGAUCUUCGCAUGGGGGUUGGUGGAAAGGUUUUUUCUGGUGGGGGAUGGGCUCGCGGCCUAUCAGCUUGUUGGUGGGGUGAUGGCCUACCAAGGCUUUGACGGGUAGCCGGCCUGAGAGGGUGACCGGUCACAUUGGGACUGAGAUACGGCCCAGACUCCUACGGGAGGCAGCAGUGGGGAAGAUUGCACAAUGGGCGAAAGCCUGAUGCAGCGACGCCGCGUGAGGGAUGGAGGCCUUCGGGUUGUAAACCUCUUUCGCUCAUGGUCAAGCCGCAACAUUGGUUGUGGUGAGGGUAGUGGGUAAAGAAGCGCCGGCUAACUACGUG
rnacentral:rRNA from 1 species